UACGUAGGCAGCGAGCGUUGUUCGGAGUUACUGGGCGUAAAGGGUGCGUAGGCGGUUGUUUAAGUUUGGUGUGAAAUCUCCCGGCUCAACUGGGAGGGUGCGCCGAAUACUGAAUGACUAGAGUGCGGGAGAGGAUAGUGGAAUUCUCGGUGUAGCGGUGAAAUGCGUAGAUAUCGAGAGGAACACCUGCGGCGAAGGCGGGUUGCUGGGCCGACACUGACGCUGAUGCGCGAAAGCUAGGGGAGCAAACAGG
rnacentral:rRNA from 1 species